rnacentral:rRNA from 1 species
GACGAACGCUGGCGGCGUGCUUAACACAUGCAAGUCGAACGAAGUGGCGAACGGGUGAGUAAUACGUGGGUAACUUGCCCUCCUUUUUGGGAUAAGCCUUGGAAACGGGGUCUAAUACCGAAUAAAGGGGGCUGGGCUCGCGGCCUAUCAGCUUGUGGGUGGGGUGGUGGCCUACCAAGGCGGUGAAGGGUAGCCGGCCUGAGAGGGGGACCGGCUACAUUGGUACUUGGAUACGGCCCAUACUCAUUCGGGCGGCAGCCGGGGGGGACAUUGCACAAUGGGCGAAAGCCUGAUGCAGCGACGCCGCGUGGGGGAUGAAGGCUUGCGGGUUGUAAACCUCUUUCGUUAUCGAACGGGCAGGUGGAGAAGCAGCGCCGGCUACCCAGGUGCCAGCAGCCGCGGUAAUUC